AGAAAAAUUUCAACACAUGAAACUGACAAGGAUUAGUAUCCAGAGUAUACAAACAAUUCUUACAAAUCAAUAAGAAAAAAGACACCCCAA